AGUGUGAAUUGCCUGAAUCAUAUGAAGCUUACCAGAAGCAACAACACAGAUGGCAUUCCGGGCCAAUGCAAUUGUUUCGUCUAUGCUUGCCUGACAUCAUCAAAUCAAAGAUUAGCAUUUGGAAGAAAGCAAACAUAAUAUUCCUUUUCUUCUUACUACGAAAACUCAUCCUACCAUUUUACUCAUUUACCCUCUUCUGCA